rnacentral:rRNA from 1 species
UACGUAGGGUGCGAGCGUUAAUCGGAAUUACUGGGCGUAAAGCGCGCGCAGGCGGUCUUCCAAGUCAGUGGUGAAAGCCCGGAGCUCAACUCCGGAAUUGCCAUUGAAACUGUUGGACUUGAGGAUGAGAGAGGUGAGUGGAAUUCCCAGUGUAGAGGUGAAAUGCGUAGAUAUCAAGAGGAAUACCUGAGGUGAAGACGGGUUGCUAGGCCGACACUGACGCUGAAGCGCGAAAGCCAGGGGAGCAAACGGG